UAGAACGAAUUUUUAUCCACU
rnacentral:piRNA from 1 species